AACGGCGAGUGAAGCGGCAACAGCUCAAAUUUUAAAGCUGGCGUCCUCGACGCCCGCGUUGUAAUUUGGAGAGGCAUCUUCGGUUUGGGCGCCAGCCUAUGUUCCUUGGAACAGGACGUCACAGAGGGUGAGAAUCCCGUGCUUGGCUGGCUGUCCCUCUCCAUGUGAAGUGUCUUCGACGAGUCGAGUUGUUUGGGAAUGCAGCUCAAAAUGGGUGGUAAAUUUCAUCUAAAGCUAAAUAUUGGCGGGAGACCGAUAGCGCACAAGUAGAGUGAUCGAAAGAUGAAAAGCACUUUGAAAAUAGAGUUAAAAAGUACGUGAAAUUGUUGAAAGGGAAGCGCUUGAGACCAGACUCGGCCGGAGACGAUCAGCGGUCCUUUUGGGCCGUGCACUCGUCCUCGGUCGGGCCAGCAUCGGUUGAGACGGCGGGAUAAAGGUCCGGGGAAUGUGGCUCCUUUCGGGGAGUGUUAUAGCCCCGGGCGCAAUGCCGCCAGCCUCGACCGAGGACCGCGCUUUUUUGCUAGGAUGCUGGCGUAAUGGUCUUCAGCGACCCGUCUUGAAACACGGACCAAGGAGUCUAACAUCUAUGCGAGUGUUUGGGUGUCAAACCCUUGCGCGUAAUGAAAGUGAACGUGGGUGGGAACCCCUCGUCAGGGGGGCGCACCAUCGACCGAUCCUGAUGUCUUCGGAUGGAUUUGAGUAGGAGCAUAGCUGUUGGGACCCGAAAGAUGGUGAACUAUGCCUGAAUAGGGUGAAGCCAGAGGAAACUCUGGUGGAGGCUCGCAGCGGUUCUGACGUGCAAAUCGAUCGUCAAAUUUGGGUAUAGGGGCGAAAGACUAAUCGAACCAUCUAGUA
rnacentral:rRNA from 1 species